AGAGUUUGAUCCUGGCUCAGAUUGAACGCUGGCGGCAGGCCUAACACAUGCAAGUCGAACGGUAGCACAGAGAGCUUGCUCUCGGGUGACGAGUGGCGGACGGGUGAGUAAUGUCUGGGAAACUGCCUGAUGGAGGGGGAUAACUACUGGAAACGGUAGCUAAUACCGCAUAACGUCGCAAGACCAAAGAGGGGGACCUUCGGGCCUCUUGCCAUCAGAUGUGCCCAGAUGGGAUUAGCUAGUAGGUGGGGUAACGGCUCACCUAGGCGACGAUCCCUAGCUGGUCUGAGAGGAUGACCAGCCACACUGGAACUGAGACACGGUCCAGACUCCUACGGGAGGCAGCAGUGGGGAAUAUUGCACAAUGGGCGCAAGCCUGAUGCAGCCAUGCCGCGUGUAUGAAGAAGGCCUUCGGGUUGUAAAGUACUUUCAGCGGGGAGGAAGGUGUUG
rnacentral:rRNA from 1 species